UUGAAAUAAACCUGAUAAGUUGUUGCUGGUUCUCUAGGGAACACUGUGCACACUUGUCAUCUUUAUAUCUCUCCACCUGUGCACCUUUUGUAGACCUGGAUAUUUAUCCGAGUGCUUGCACUUGGGAUUGAGGAUUGACUUUAUUGUCUCUGCCUUACAUUUUCAGGUCUAUGUUUUCAUCAUAUACCCUUAACGUAUGUUAUAGAAUGUAAUAUAUAUGGGCCUUUGUGCCUAUAAAAACUAUA
rnacentral:misc_RNA from 1 species